rnacentral:rRNA from 1 species
UAGCGUAUAUUAAAGUUGUUGCAGUUAAAAAGCUCGUAGUCGGAUUUCGGGGCGGGGCGACCGGUCUGCCGAUGGGUAUGCACUGGUCGGCGCGUCCUUCCUUCCGGAGACCGUGCCUACUCUUAACUGAGCGGGGGCGGGAGACGGAUCGUUUACUUUGAAAAAAUCAGAGUGUUUCAAGCAGGCGUCUCGCCUUUGCAUGGAUUAGCAUGGGAUAAUGAAAUAGGACUUUGGUGCUAUUUUGUUGGUUUCGAACACCGAAGUAAUGAUGAGAAGGGACAGUCAGGGGCACUCGUAUUCCGCCGAGAGAGGUGAAAUUCUCAGACCAGCGGAAGACGAACCACUGCGAAAGCAUUUG